rnacentral:rRNA from 1 species
CCUACGGGAGGCUGCAGUGGGGGAUAUUGCACAAUGGGGGGAACCCUGAUGCAGCGACGCCGCGGGGGUGAAGAAGCGCCUCGGCGCGUAAAGCCCUGUCAGCAGGGAAGAAAAUGACGGUACCUGAAGAAGAAGCCCCGGCUAACUACGUGCCAGCAGCCGCGGUAAUACGUAGGGGGCAAGCGUUAAACGGAUUUACUGGGUGGAAAGGGGGCGCAGACGGCGAUGCAAGCCAGGAGUGAAAGCCCGGGGCCCAACCCCGGGACUGCUCUUGGAACUGCGUGGCUGGAGUGCAGGAGGGGCAGGCGGAAUUCCUGGUGUAGCGGUGAAAUGCGUAGAUAUCAGGAGGAACACCGGUGGCGAAGGCGGCCUGCUGGACUGCAACUGACGUUGAGGCCCGAAAGCGUGGGGAGCAAACAGGAUUAGAUACCCGGGUAGUC